rnacentral:rRNA from 1 species
CAGCAGCCGCGGGAAUACGUAGGUGGCAAGCGUUGUCCGGAAUUAUUGGGCGUAAAGGGCUCGCAGGCGGUUUCUUAAGUCUGAUGUGAAAGCCCCCGGCUCAACCGGGGAGGGUCAUUGGAAACUGGGAAACUUGAGUGCAGAAGAGGAGAGUGGAAUUCCACGUGUAGCGGUGAAACGCGUAGAGAUGUGGAGGAACACCAGUGGCGAAGGCGACUCUCUGGUCUGUAACUGACGCUGAGGAGCGAAAGCGUGGGGAGCGAACAGGAUUAGAUACCCGUGUAGUCCCUGUCUCUUAUAU